UGGAUCCAGACUUUGAUUAUGGCUCAGGAUGAACGCUAGCUACAGGCUUAACACAUGCAAGUCGAGGGGAAACGACAUCGAAAGCUUGCUUUUGAUGGGCGUCGACCGGCGCACGGGUGAGUAACGCGUAUCCAACCUGCCCACCACUUGGGGAUAACCUUGCGAAAGUAAGACUAAUACCCAAUGAUAUCUCUAGAAGACAUCUGAAGGAGAUUAAAGAUUUAUCGGUGAUGGAUGGGGAUGCGUCUGAUUAGCUUGUUGGCGGGGUAACGGCCCACCAAGGCGACGAUCAGUAGGGGUUCUGAGAGGAAGGUCCCCCACAUUGGAACUGAGACACGGUCCAAACUCCUACGGGAGGCAGCAGUGAGGAAUAUUGGUCAAUGGACGAGAGUCUGAACCAGCCAAGUAGCGUGCAGGAUGACGGCCCUAUGGGUUGUAAACUGCUUUUAUAAGGGAAUAAAGUGAGUCUCGUGAGACUUUUUGCAUGUACCUUAUGAAUAAGGACCGGCUAAUUCCGUGCCAGCAGCCGCGGUAAUACGGAAGAUCCGGGCGUUAUCCGGAUUUAUUGGGUUUAAAGGGAGCGUAGGCCGGAGAUUAAGCGUGUUGUGAAAUGUAGACGCUCAACGUCUGCACUGCAGCGCGAACUGGUUUCCUUGAGUACGCACAAAGUGGGCGGAAUUCGUGGUGUAGCGGUGAAAUGCUUAGAUAUCACGAAGAACUCCGAUUGCGAAGGCAGCUCACUGGAGCGCAACUGACGCUGAAGCUCGGAAGUGCGGGUAUCGAACAGGAUUAGAUACCCUGGUAGUCCGCACGGUAAACGAUGGAUGCCCGCUGUUGGUCUGAAUAGGUCAGCGGCCAAGCGAAAGCAUUAAGCAUCCCACCUGGGGAGUACGCCGGCAACGGUGCAACUCAAAUGAAUUGACGGA
rnacentral:rRNA from 1 species